GACGAACGCUGGCGGCGUGCCUAACACAUGCAAGUCGAGCGAAUGAAGUUCCUUCGGGAAUGGAUUUAGCGGCGGACGGGUGAGUAACACGUGGGCAACCCGCCUCAUAGAGGGGAAUAGCCUUCCGAAAGGGAGAUUAAUACCGCAUACGAUUGUAGUACCGCAUGGUACAGCAAUUAAAGGAGCUAUCCGCUAGGAGAUGGGCCCGCGGCGCAUUAGCUAGUUGGUGAGGUAACGGCUCACCAAGGCGACGAUGCGUAGCCGACCUGAGAGGGUGAUCGGCCACAUGGGGACUGAGACACGGCCCAGACUCCUACGGGAGGCAGCAGUGGGGAAUAUUGCACAAUGGGGGAAACCCUGAUGCAGCAACGCCGCGUGAGUGAUGACGGCCUUCGGGUUGUAAAGCUCUGUCUUCAGGGACGAUAAUGACGGUACCUGAGGAGGAAGCCACGGCUAACUUCGUGCCAGCCGCCGCGGUAACAC
rnacentral:rRNA from 1 species